rnacentral:lncRNA from 1 species
GAUGUACGGCGGGCGGGCGGUCGGCAACUAAAUGUUGUCCGUGCAUUUACUCAUGAACCGUUCAACCAGAGAAAUAUAAUGUAUAUGUCUCUGGUUGAACCAAAGCUUUUAAAAUUUUAAUAUGUUGUUACUGACAACAAAUUGAAGGUCAAGUUCCCGAGGUCAUAUUUUAUAGGACUACUGCUUAUAUAGUAAUUGUUCUUUAAGGCAAGCAGGGGUUUACUAUACAAAUCCUUGUUUAUUCCAACUUAUGGUCAACGUCGCGAUCGAUUCGAGCUGCAAAGGUCAAUGUCAUGAACUUAGAACGUUCUCUAAACAGACCCAAACACAUUCAGGACAACUGCAUAUACAUUAAAAACAAACCGUGAUUUCUUUCAGAUAUAAAAUUUUACCUCGAGAUGUUUUUCUUUAUUUGCGCC